GUACCUUUAGCUCAGUUGGUAGAGCAGCUGACUCUUAAUCAGCGGGUCGCGGGUUCGAGUCCUAAAGGGUACA
rnacentral:tRNA from 1 species